CACUCCUCCGCAUGGCCUGCGCCACAUGCAACACGUGAGGCUUCUGGGGAGGAAGGAGAAAGCUUAGAGUCAUAGAAUGGCUUGGGCUAGAGGGCACCUCAGAAAUCACUUAGUUCUAAUUACUUUGAGAAGUUAGUUCCUUCCCAAGGGCACUGCAUGCAGACAUGAUGCACAGCUCUGCAGGUGAUGAGAUAGCAUAUUGGGAACUGUUAAGUCAUGGUCUGGACCAGUGAUUGAGCACCUGGUAAAGGGAGGUAGCAGCCCAGGGAGCACAGGUGGAAGGAAUUCGUUUGUGUGACCAGAAGGGCUGGAGCCAGGCUCCCUAACCUCAUUUAAGGGCUGGCCACCACAAGACAUGGUUCUUUUCUUGGAGACCUUCUCCUUUGGAGUGUUUGGUGAGUUCUGAUACUUGGAAAGAUCACUCAAAUCAUGGCAUUACUCAACCAGGGACAGUCCUGAAGGAAGAGAAAGCCCAUACAGAGGAUCUGUUCACACUCUCCAUUGGAUGUGUUCCCAGCUGAACUGAACUGGAAGGCCUGAUUUCUCUGGAUUUUGAGGAAACACACCUAUCAGAGGAAGCCGUAUUUUGAAACAAGUGUAAUGAUUGCCCUCUCAGCUCUAGUAAGCAUCCCAGUAGAUAACCCAGUAUGUGAGUCAAGGCCUUAAGAUGGACCACAGAAGAUGAUGGGAAGUGCUGAGACUGAUGUCUUCUGUUCUGCAUGUGGGGAUCUGUAUCUUCUCAAGUGACUUCUUUUAAAAGUGACAAAAAUGUAGAUUUGUUAGCAACUUGCCACAUCACUGGAAGAGGAAAAAACACAUUGUAAUGUCAAAGGUUUGUGGGAGAAGAGAAUACUUCAUGGUAUGACAAGAAAGGCUCUCAGAAGCUAAGAAGUCAUGGCAAGUGCCAUGAGAAGAUACCAUCAGAGAAUCAAGCAGAUUGCUACUGCAGUCCAUGAAUAAACUUUGUUUCUGGUGGUCUUCUAAGCUGAAGCACAGUGUGGACUAUUGCUUCAGGCCAUGUUUGUUGUGGGAAUAAUCUGUCCAAUCAUGACGCAUGGGCCAUAAGCCCAUCCUGGAUGGCCUGGAGAAAUGAAGUACAGAGUGGCGUGGAUUCAAACAUUAAUGUAUUUAAUGACCAGAUAUAACGCAAGACAGCUGAGAUGUGA